GCCAGACUCCUACGGGAGGCAGCAGUGGGGGAUAUUGCACAAUGGGGGGAACCCUGAUGCAGCGACGCCGCGUGGGUGAAGGAGCGUUUCGGCGCGUAAAGCCCUCUCGGCAGGGAAGAAGGAGGACGGUACCUGACUAAGAAGCCCCGGCUAACUACGUGCCAGCAGCCGCGGUAAUACGUAGGGGGCAAGCGUUAUCCGGGUUUACUGGGUGUAAAGGGGGCGCAGACGGCAGCGCAAGCCAGGAGUGAAAGCCCGGGGCCCAACCCCGGGACUGCUCUUGGAACUGCGCGGCUGGAGUGCAGGAGGGGCAGGCGGAAUUCCUGGUGUAGCGGUGAAAUGCGUAGAUAUCAGGAGGAACACCGGUGGCGAAGGCGGCCUGCUGGACUGCGACUGACGUUGAGGCCCGAAAGCGUGGGGAGCAAACAGGAUUAGAUACCCCUGUAC
rnacentral:rRNA from 1 species